UUUAGGGAUUAUGACUGAACGCCUCUAAGUCAGACUCCCGCCUGGAAAGCGACGAUGCAUUCGUGCCUCGGCCUCGAGAGGCGUAGCUAGACGGCCGUGUGGCCGUGGAAAGAGCCCGAUUCCGACCCGAGAGGCCGCGGCAAGAGGCGGCCUCGAAGUCGGUGGAUCCUCCUGCUCGAAAGGCGGGGUGCUAAACCAUUCGCAGACGACCUAGUUGAAGAUCGGGGUGUCGUGAUCACUAGAGCAGUACAUCUCACUGCGAUUUGUUGAGAGUAAGCCUCAAGAUCUGUCGGUUUGU
rnacentral:ncRNA from 1 species